rnacentral:sRNA from 1 species
GCCGGGUGCAGUGGCUCUUGCUUGUAAUCCUAGCCCUUUGGGAGGCUGAGAUGGGAGGAUCACUUGAGGCCAGGAGUUCAAGACCAGCCUGGUCAACAUAGUGAUACUCCAUCUCUUUAAAAAAAAUUUUUUUUCUUUAAAGCAAGUUAUGGCCAGGCGUGGUGGCUCACGCCUGUAAUCUCAGCACUUUGGGAGGCCUAGGUGGGUGGAUCACCUGAGGUCAGGAGUUCAAGGCCAGCCUGGUCAACAUAGUGAUACCCCAUCUCU